CCUCCCUCGGGAGCCAUCCUUAGCCCAGGUCAGCCUUCUCAGAAUCAGGCUGCCCGCAUGCCAGGAGGUGUGGAUGGACUGGACCGGGCAGGUGGGCCUUAUCUGGACUUGAGCUCUGUGCAGAGGCCCAGCAGGCACCAGCGGGGCUAGGGGCCUUUAUGAAGGAUGUGUUUCUCCCACGGAUUCUCUGUGCAUCGUCAGAGAAUUUCCAAGUCCAAGUACACUGGAGGCUUUGCAUGAAGAUUGCUCCUGGCUGGGUGUCCCCCAUCUGAUACAGGGGGACCCCCACCCUCCUCAGGAAGCCCCUGUCCUCUCCAGCUUCCAAACAAAGAAUGUAGCAGGGGUCCGCCUGGCCCCUCUUCUCCGUGCACAAAGGGGAAUUGUUGAAAGCCAGAACCGCAGAGAGGGUCAGAGCCAGAAGGACACAGAAACCAGCGAGCGGAUGCGGCCACUUUACAGAUGGCAGCGCCGAGGCUGGAGCACACCGUGCCAAAUCAUGCAGACACUAUCCCAAUCGGCAAAGAUCAUGGAGUCGCGUCUGCCUGGCGUCCAGCGGAAGCACGGGGCAGGUCCCCGUUGUGGAUGAAAGCACUCAGGAUGGCGCCUCUCACCCAGCCAGGUAUCCCACCAGCACGGCGUGGAUGUGCAGAAAGUGCUAAGAGACGUUAUAAUGGAGUCUGGUGCCACUUCUCGAUGGCCUGUGGGGCACUCAGGCUAACAGGCCCGAACGGGGUUGAUAUAUGAGAAGAAACGGUGCUGAACUGGCCAGCGGGGGACAGAAACCCUUUGCGCCUCUGGCCGGGCGAGCGCGGAUUCAAGGACUGCUUGGUGCAGGGGAAAGCACAUAGUUCCUCAUUCCUG